UGUAAUGACUUGGCCAAGCGAAAUUCCUUGGAAAACAUGUGUAUUUUCGUGUCGAGCACCUGUUAUCGCCUAUGAUUCGAUGUUUGGCUAUUUUAAAGUUUGACACCGGUUCUCACCUUUUUAAUUCAAUUCAUUAUGUUUUCAGUGUUCUAUGUAAUCCGUUUUCCAAGUGUAAAACCAUUUUUAUUGUUGUAUAAACGAGAUAACUUUUGUAGUAAACUUUCACUUUCACUUCAGUCGCCAUUUCCG
rnacentral:lncRNA from 1 species